UACGUAGGGGGCAAGCGUUAUCCGGAUUUACUGGGUGUAAAGGGCGUGUAGCCGGGCUGACAAGUCAGAUGUGAAAUUCCGGGGCUCAACCCCGGACCUGCAUUUGAAACUGUUGAACUUGAGUGCAGAAGAGGAGAGUGGAACUCCAUGUGUAGCGGUGAAAUGCGUAGAUAUAAGGAAGAACACCAGUGGCGAAGGCGGCUCUCUGGUCUGCAACUGACGCUGAGGCUCGAAAGCAUGGGUAGCGAACAGG
rnacentral:rRNA from 1 species